CCUACGGGGGGCAGCAGUGGGGGAUAUUGCACAAUGGGGGGAACCCUGAUGCAGCGACGCCGCGUGGGUGAAGGAGUGCUUCGGCAUGUAAAGCCCUAUCGGCAGGGAAGAAGCAAGACGGUACCUGACUAAGAAGCCCCGGCUAACUACGUGCCAGCAGCCGCGGUAAUACGUAGGGGGCGAGCGUUAUCCGGAUUCACUGGGUGUAAAGGGAGCGUAGACGGCCAUGCAAGCCAGGGGUGAAAGCCCGGGGCCCAACCCCGGGACUGCCCUUGGAACUGUGCGGCUAGAGUGCGGGAGGGGCAGGCGGAAUUCCUGGUGUAGCGGUGAAAUGCGCAGAGAUCAGGAGGAACACCGGCGGCGAAGGCGGCCUGCUGGACUGCGACUGACGUUGAGGCUCGAAAGCGUGGGGAGCGAACAGGAUUAGAUACCCGGGUAGUC
rnacentral:rRNA from 1 species